UACGAAGGGGGCUAGCGUUGUUCGGAAUCACUGGGCGUAAAGCGCACGUAGGCGGACUUCUAAGUCAGGGGUGAAAUCCCGGGGCUCAACCUCGGAACUGCCUUUGAUACUGGAAGUCUCGAGUCCGAGAGAUGUGAGUGGAACUCCUAGUGUAGAGGUGAAAUUCGUAGAUAUUAGGAAGAACACCAGUGGCGAAGGCGGCUCACUGGCUCGGUACUGACGCUGAGGUGCGAAAGCGUGGGGAGCAAACAGG
rnacentral:rRNA from 1 species